rnacentral:tRNA from 1 species
UAGAUGAAUGCUCGCUGGUUUGGGCGCUUAGCUGUUAACUAAGCUUUUGUAGGAUCGAGGCCUACUCAUCUAG